rnacentral:rRNA from 1 species
UUCCAGACUCCUACGGGAGGCAGCAGUGGGGAAUAUUGCACAAUGGGGGAAACCCUGAUGCAGCGACGCCGCGUGAGUGAAGAAGUAUUUCGGUAUGUAAAGCUCUAUCAGCAGGGAAGAAAAUGACGGUACCUGAUUAAGAAGCCCCGGCUAACUACGUGCCAGCAGCCGCGGUAAUACGUAGGGGGCAAGCGUUAUCCGGAUUUACUGGGUGUAAAGGGAGCGUAGACGGUGAUGCAAGUCAGAAGUGAAAGCCCGGGGCUCAACUCCGGGACUGCUUUUGAAACUGUGUGACUGGAGUGCAGGAGAGGUAAGCGGAAUUCCUGGUGUAGCGGUGAAAUGCGUAGAUAUCAGGAGGAACACCAGUGGCGAAGGCGGCUUACUGGACUGUAACUGACGUUGAGGCUCGAAAGCGUGGGGAGCAAACAGGAUUAGAUACCCGCGUA